AGGAGCCGUAUGAAAUGAAAAUUUCAUGUACGGUUUUGCAAUAGAGAUAUAAAUAGUAAUGUUCAUAUCGACUAUAAU
rfam:Marchantia polymorpha subsp. polymorpha scaffold412, whole genome shotgun sequence.